rnacentral:tRNA from 1 species
GGGAACAUCGUUCAGUGGCAGGAUACCUAGUUGUCUCUUAGGUGACGCGAGUUCGAUCCUCGCUGUUCUCG